AUUCAUGCUUUUAGAGUGAUAACUCUCUAUUUUUACAUAUUUUUCUUUGUUAAAAAGCUUUUCUUAGGGUUCUUUAGUUUUUAAUUGUUUAGAUUUAGGUUAGUUUUAGGAUUUUUGUUUAAAAUUGUAGUUUUAUAAAAUUGUAGUUAAAAAUAGAUUUUUAAUGUAUUUUUAGUACAUUUGUAAAUAAUUAGAAAAUUUAUAUUUUUUUUUAGAAAAUCUUUUUAUAAAAAUUCUUUUCUUUUAUUUUUUUUUUGCUUUUCUUUCUUUAAUUUUGAAUUGUUUUUCUUUGUUACAGAUUGGGCCUUAGCAAUUGGGCUCAUUGUGGUCAGCAGAAGCAAUUUCCCCACCUGUUGCUGUUUCUGUCAUAGGUAGCUUAGAGUUCUCUUUUCUUUCAUUUCAUUUCAAUUCAAUUUCCUUCUUUUCUUUUAAACAGAUUAUAGUUUAGUUUUCUUUUCCUUUUUAAUUUCAUUGUUUUCAUAUUUUUUUUAAAUAUCCCCACCUGUUAGUAGUUAUUAAAUAAAUAGUUAGUAAAUAAAUGGUUUAAACCCUUAAAUCGUCCCUAUUUUUGGGACGCUUUCCCAAUUUCAUCCCUCUUUUAUUAAAACUCCCAAUUUGGUCCUCAUAAGAGCCAAUUUGAAUGAAAUUGACCCUUUCCGUUAAAUAAAGUUAACAGCGUCAAAUAUUUGACCAGCACAGUGGAUUACGUGUUAAUGUAUUUAAACGUGGCCUUGGUAACGUUGAAAUGUGGCAAUGAAAACGUGUCAUUUGAGAAAAAUUAAAAUUUAAAAUAGAUUCUGAAAUCUGAGAUCUCCACUCUUCGUCUUCCUCGCGUGAACCACCAUUGCCAACAGCUCCUCCCGUCGCCGCAUGCUCCUCGACCGGUCAGGCCGUCGCUAGCGACGCUGGUCACCACAGGAAGUUUUGCCGACGACGACAUGAUCUCCCUCCGUAUUCUUCCUCUCUAAAAACGUGAUUCUACCACCUCCCAAUACCCAGAUCGGAAACCGCCGCAAUUUCCGCCAACUGCGUCGCCGCGCAAUCUGGAGUCACCACCAUCGCAAACCCGAAACGGGCUAUUGCAAUUCAAGGGCUGCUGCUCCUCACCUCCUUCCUUCUCAGUCUUGCCAAGCCUUCCCCUAAUUUCCAGUUUU
rnacentral:lncRNA from 1 species